rnacentral:rRNA from 1 species
GCGCACCCGGCGAGAAUCUUCCGCAAUGGGCGAAAGCCUGACGGAGCGACGCCGCGUGACCGAAGACGCCCUUCGGGGUGUAAAGGUCUUUUCUAGGGGACCAAUAUCCCGAUUUAUCGGGAUGAGUGUACCCUAGGAAUAAGGGGCCGCCAAACUCGUGCCAGCAGCGGCGGUAAGACGAGUGCCCCAAGCGUUAUCCGGAAUUACUGGGCGUAAAAGCGUCUGUAGGGGGUUUGAUAAGUCUCCUGUCAAAUUCCGAUGCUCAACAUCGGAAACCGCAAGGAGAAAACUAUCAAAACUAGAGGGU